UAGUCCACGCCGUAAACGAUGGAUACUAGCUGUUCGGACUUCGGUCUGAGUGGCUAAGCGAAAGUGAUAAGUGACCCACCUGGGGAGUACGUUCGCAAGAAUGAAACUCAAAGGAAUUGACGGGGGCCCGCACAAGCGGUGGAGCAUGUGGUUUAAUUCGAUGAUACGCGAGGAACCUUACCAGGGCUUAAAUGUAAGUUGCAUUAGCUAGAGAUAGUUAUUUCUUCGGACUACUUACAAGGUGCUGCAUGGUUGUCGUCAGCUCGUGCCGUGAGGUGUCAGGUUAAGUCCUAUAACGAGCGCAACCCCUGGUUCUAGUUGCCAGCAUUAAGUUGGGGACUCUAGAGCAACUGCCGGCGUAAGCCGGGGGAAGGUGGGGACGACGUCAAAUCAUCAUGGCCUUUAUGCCCAGGGCGACACACGUGCUACAAUGGUACAUACAGAGGGUUGCGAAGCAGUGAUGUGGAGCUAAUCCCGCAAAGUGUAUCCCAGUUCGGAUUGAAGUCUGGAA
rnacentral:rRNA from 1 species